rnacentral:snRNA from 1 species
GUACUCACUUCGGCAGCAUAUACUAGGAAGAUUAGCAUGGCCCCUGUGCAAGAAGGACUCAAAUUCGUGAAGCGUUCCAUUUUCAA